ensembl:lncRNA
CUGGGCAUAGAACAAGUGAAAUUUGUCUUCAGAUGAACUAUGGACUGGAAGCAAUUUUGUUGUAAAAAAGGUGAAAUGGAGUCAAAAGCUAUUGUGAAGGGAAAAGUGAGGCUCAAAAAAGGUACAAUGGUUGUACAAGGCAGUAUUAGGACAGUCUCUGAAGAAACAAACUGGUGGUGUCUGGUGCCAUGGGUUAUUCUUCAGUCUAUUCAUUGUGGUCUCUCCAUCCUGUUUGUGCUCAAUGAUAAAGUGGCCUCUGGUUUGUGACUGGCUGUAAUUAACUGGAAUUGAAGGAAUAAACAGCAUAGAAGCUGAUCACAGGAUCACAGGAGGGUGAGGGAGAAGGGGAAGACCCUCACUCAUUGAAAAGUAACUGAUACACCAAAUUAUCCUUAAGAACUGUUCCCUGCUUGUGCUGAGAUCUGUGCCUUCACCCUCGGUUUGAGACUCUCCUCGGAACCUAAUUUCUCUCCCCGUCUGCGCCGAUCUCCCCCCUGGCCCCGGAACCAACCUUUUGGUGAGACUGCAGAUUUUCUUCGGCCGGUGAGUUAUGCACACCUGCAUUUUUGAUUUCCUUCACAAGCUAAUUGUACAAUAAUUCAGAGCCUGAUUCUUUUUGUACAGCAAAAUAAUGUUUUGGUCAUGUAUACUUAUUGUGUAUCUGUUAUAUUUUAAAUAUUUUAACAUCUACUGUCAUCCUGACAUUUAGAGGGGUAGGGUAAGGUGAAAAUUGGAACAAGAGGUUUGGCAAUUGUUAAUGCUGUAAAGUUACCUAUGUAUAUAUCCUGUAAAUAAAAGGCUAUUAAAAAAAAAAAAAAAAAAAGAACUGUUCCCUGUCUCCAUAAUCAAAUUUCUCAAGAGAUAUCUGGCUCACUAUCUGGUGAUAGUGAAAUCCACAGGAGAAGGGAAAUCCAGAUGCUGCUAUGAUAAGCUAGGAUGAGUCACACCUGCCUUUGAAAGGGAAAAAUGGAUGCUUGGGGUCAGGGCUGUCUAGAGAUUGAAGUAAGGAUAGAAUGAGGACAGGUAGACACCCAGUUGUGAUGUCCUGACUAAGUCUCUAGAGGACCUGAGUCCUUGUUCUUAGUGGAGGAGUGAAGAAGGCAGGAGACUCACUAGGAUGGAUGAUCAAAGAAGUCUGGAGUCUUGUGUCUGUGUUGUGUCUGAGAGAUUUCUUUUCUGUGUCUGUGGCUGAGGGCAUCCUCUGUGUCUGUGGCUAAGAGCCUCAUUCCCAGUAUUCCCAGCCCUUAAAUAUUUCAAUAUGAUUACAUCACUACAGCAUCUGAGCAUGUGCAACUAUGACCUUACCAUAUCACAUUAAGUGUAUGUUUAGAGAACCAUUAUAUCGCACUGAAUAUGUGCUUAACUAUAAGCAUCCUGCUGUCCUUGGUUCAAGUAUACAUUUCCAGAACUCAGGUCCUCUACACCCAGUGAGUAUUUGAUGAGAACUGUCCUUCAAUAUUAUCCACUUACCCUUCCACAAUUCUGGCUCCCAGGUCACCAUUACCUUGGCAACUAUAUAUGUCCACAAGUAACAAAUAUAAACACUCACUUCUGUUGAAUAAGUCACUGCCAAGAUCCUGAUCAUUUGACACCAAAAGGCAUGUUUCUGAAGAUCUGCAAGAGGUCACCAAGGAUCAAGGACAUAACCACACAGACUCUUUCUCCCACCCUCUGGACUAUAAACUCGGACAAAAGGAUUCUAGCUCCCAAAAGACUGGGAAUAGGAGUUUUCUCCAACUAAAUCUCUCAUAGAUGAUGACCACACACUCAACUUUCCCAUCGAAGAGAGAAGGUACCAAAGUGGGGAGAUUUCAUGGUCCCCAGAGUAAGCUCAUUCCCACUUUUUAUACCCAUAUUUUCUCAUACUAGGAACAUUCCAGAAAAAUGAUAGAGACCACCAGCCUCGGGACAGAAGAUGUUAGGGAGAAGGAUUCAGGGAUGCAGAGAGAAUUCCUUAGCUUCUGUCAUAGAUCUCCAGGAAAGAGAAACACUGAAAUGAUAAACCAGAGAAAACCAUAAAGGCAUUUAUUCUGAGGGUUAGUGGUGCCAUUAUUGGGUUAAAUGGAUUGGGUGAAGUUCACAGGAUUCUUAUAUCUUUGUACCUUCCCUGCUUCAUCUGAUCCAUGGUGCUCAAGAGGAAUUCCCUGCCUUGACUUUUCAUCAUACUUUUUGCAUAAAUGAGUAAGAAGAAUGUAGAAAUUAAAUAUGACUGUCUACUGUUAUGGGAGACACCUGCUAGUUGCUACUGGGGAUCUAAUUCUGACCAGCAGAAUAGAUUCCUUCAUGUGAGAGGAUAAUAAUACAAGAAGACUGAGAGGCAGGUACAUUCCCUCUUCCUUCUUGCCUCCAUUUAUUUCAUUCCCAAUUCACAAGCAACAUCUGCCUCAGUAAAGGCUGAUUUGCAAUUCCUUCAAAUGUGUUAUGAUUCACAGCUGUGGGGACUUUGGAGAACAAAUCCACCCCUAAUGGUACAGUCCCCUUUAACCCUUUACAAGCUUUCUAGGUUUUGCACUUAGUGAUCCUUAGCAGUCUACAAAUGAUGGUCCUCAUCAUUAAUCUAAGUACUUCACUGGUAUCAUUUCUUCCUCAGAAGCACACCAUGCCCACUAAGGAGAAUGUGGCCUUCAUAUGCUCUCCUGGCACAGGACAAAGCAUUCCAUGUUGGUCUUUGGGAAUCUCAUACCCAAGUAGAAGAAAGUUAGCUAUAACUCUUCUUAUUGAGGAGAAGGGCCAUCUUAGGUCUGGUCAGUGAGGAGGAUGGAGGUCUGACUGAGCAUAGACAGAAGAGAGGCCAUGGCCAUACAUUUCAGCCUUUCUAACCACUAGCCCCCUCUCUGGUCUUUCUGUUGUUUCUUGCAUUUCUUGUCCCCAACCUUCCUUCCUUCCUUCCUCCAUUCUUCUCUCUUUCCUUCCUCCUUUUCUUCCCUCCUUUCUUCCCUCCUUCCCUCCUUCGUUCUUCCUUCCUUCUUUCCUUUCUAAUUUGCUUCAUUUGUUCCUUCCUUCUAUAUACAGUUUUUCCUUCUUCCUUCUUACCUUCCUCCCCUUUCUCUCCCUCAUCUUCAUUUCUUUGUCUUUCUCCUUUCAUCUCACUCUGCAUCCCUCCUUUUCUUCCUUACUUCCUUCUUUCCUUCCCUAAAGCUAAGCACUCUGCUUGGCACAUAUAAAUUACCAAAUAAAUAUUGAAUUGAAUCUUUCUCACUUGAUCCUUAGAAAGAAUUUUGGAUAGUAUGUGCUGCUAUUAAAAAUUUUCAUAUGAGAAACUGAGGCAGAGUUUAAAGGACUGGCCUAAGGUCACACAUAAGGAAGAGGCAGAGAAUAAACUCAGCUCUUUCUGGCUCCACUCACCACUCAGUGUCCACUGCACCACUUAGCUCCUUCUGAAUGGAGCUGUGCUAGGGAUUUCAUUUCCUUACUGACACCUCACAAGGAGAGGUUCAAAGGGAAAAUGUUGGUGUCAGUGAUAUUUUUCCUAUUAAUUUAUUAGUCAUUAAAAUCAUGUGUCAAAUAAAAGUUUUCCAAAUUAGAAUAUAUCAGCCACUUCCUAUAUCAAAAUAACAACAAUAAAAGAAUUUGUUACCAAAUUUAUUCUCCUUCUCUCACCAUGCUUCCUCAAUGCCAUGACAUAUUCUAUGGUCCAGUCUGAUUAGAAUGAUGGUUCUCUCACUAUAUUUGAAAGACUGAAAUAACC